AUGGACUACAGGAUAAAUACGAGAGGAAGAAGGAAGAUCAAGAAUGGAAACUCCAGACCAACAGAAAGAAGCUCCGAGAAGCGCAAGAGUUGCUUUCACUCCCAAAUGGCCCGCAGAUGGUGUAGCAUGAUACUCAUAGACAAUGUGUUGAUGAAGUUGAGAAAGAUCAUAUUUAAAGACUUUAAUUUUGUAGUGAAACUGGUCAAGAGUGCAGGAACUGGGGAGGACAAAGACAGAAACAAGGAAUCUGAAGACUUGAAUUUGUGGCUUAAAGCAUCACCCACAAAAUUUGGUUUUCCGGCUUCAGUGAUGGCAAACAUCUCACGGACAUGGGGCCUAAUCGGGGGUAGGCAUGUUGAAGAGUGA